rnacentral:rRNA from 1 species
CCCUUAGAUGUCCUGGGCCGCACGCGCGCUACACUGAGUGUCUGAGAUACGAGUCUGCCUGGUCCGGCAAGGUCUAGGUAAUCGCUAAAAGACACAUCAUGCUUGGGAUAGAUUAUUGCAAAUAUUAAUCUUGAACGAGGAAUUCCUAGUAAGCGCAAGUCAACAGAUUGCGUUGAUUACGUCCCUGCCCUUUGUACACACCGCCCGUCGCUACUACUGAUUGGAUGUUUAAGCGAGGUUCUCGAACUGCUAGCGACUUAGCUUCGGUGAGGUCGCAGUGUGGGAAGUGAACCUAGCUUUGGUGUCUAGAGGAAGUAAAAGUCGUAACA